rnacentral:rRNA from 1 species
GGAGCUUGCUCCCUGAUGUUAGCGGCGGACGGGUGAGUAACACGUGGGUAACCUGCCUGUAAGACUGGGAUAACUCCGGGAAACCGGGGCUAAUACCGGAUGGUUGUUUGAACCGCAUGGUUCAAACAUAAAAGGUGGCUUCGGCUACCACUUACAGAUGGACCCGCGGCGCAUUAGCUAGUUGGUGAGGUAACGGCUCACCAAGGCAACGAUGCGUAGCCGACCUGAGAGGGUGAUCGGCCACACUGGGACUGAGACACGGCCCAGACUCCUACGGGAGGCAGCAGUAGGGAAUCUUCCGCAAUGGACGAAAGUCUGACGGAGCAACGCCGCGUGAGUGAUGAAGGUUUUCGGAUCGUAAAGCUCUGUUGUUAGGGAAGAACAAGUACCGUUCGAAUAGGGCGGUACCUUGACGGUACCUAACCAGAAAGCCACGGCUAACUACGUGCCAGCAGCCGCGGUAAUACGUAGGUGGCAAGCGUUGUCCGGAAUUAUUGGGCGUAAAGGGCUCGCAGGCGGUUUCUUAAGUCUGAUGUGAAAGCCCCCGGCUCAACCGGGGAGGGUCAUUGGAAACUGGGGAACUUGAG